AUUGGAAAAAACUCCUUUAUGCCCCCUCGUAUGGUAAAAAGGAGGUGUGGCACACACUAAGUUAUGACUUCUUUGCGAAGGAUUUGAUUGCACAGGCCUGGGCCACCUCGCGUCUCUGAUUUUACUAAUGGCGAACACGAUGUCUGAUACAUCGAUGUUGCAGUUGUAAUCCGAAAGUGAGGUACCUUCGUUGGCCCUGUGUGCCUAUCGAAUCCAGCUCUGUUGAUGAGUCCUCGAGGAUUUCGACCUCGGUCCAUUCUUUGAUCAUUGUGGGGUAUGUUACGCCUCGGGGCAUUUCUCCUGUCUUCGGUGUAUGGCUGGUACCUUUCUUUGUUUGGCUUUGGCUCCAUCGCCAGAAGCCUGCUUGGGUAUAUCGAGCUUGAGGGGGCUCCUAGUUGGUCGUCCUCGACCUUGAGUUUCGAUUGAUAUCGAUUGUGAACGUCCGACCAGGUCACGACGGGAUAUUCAACCAGAUUCUAUUUCAACUUCUUCGAAGCCACCGAGCUUCAUUCAUUCAGGCCUUGAGUGAAGGCCUGCACCGCCUAGUCGUCGGAGAUUGGUGGUAGUUCAAUUCGUUCUAUUCAAAAGCAAGAUACGAACUCUCACGGCAUCUCAUUCUCCCUUUGCUUGAUCUUGAAGACGACAGACUUCAUUGUUGCUACUUUUAUGGCACCAGCAUGUGCCUUUAUGAAAGAAUCUACCACCAUGGCAAAUGCGUCUAUGGAGUUAGGAGCUAGGUUAUGAUACCACAUCAUGGCCCCUUUCGAGAGCGUUUUUUCGAACUCUUUCAGUAAGACAGACUCGAUUUUGUCGUCCUUUAGGUCGUUGCCUAUUUACCGUGAAAAUGGUAAAAACAAUUAAAUUUGUAAAUGGGAUUCUAAAAUAUGUGAUCUAUUUUUAUGCUAAUUGUUAGUGCAGUUUAUGUGAAGGGUAUGAAGUUCAAUGAAGAAAUAGAAGCUAAAACGAGGCAGUAGUCAAACCGAGAUGCUUACAUCCCGAGCCUCGGACUGGUCAAUGAAGGACCUUGAUGCUGAUAUCUGGCUCGAGCUCGAGCUAUCAGGGGUAGUCGAGGAUCGGAUAACAAUUGAGAUAUGAUCAAACAAGGCUCUUUAUGGCCAAUAUCAUGCAAUGAAUUAAGAAUAAGUAUGAAAUCAAUAAACGCUAAGAGUGGCCUCGAGCUAGUAGGAACGAGUAAGUUAGAGAGAAGAUAAUAGAGAGAGAGAUAUUAUUGAUCUUGUGGAGAAUGGUUGGAGCAACAUCAUCCCUUUACAAAGUACUGUGGGUUCCCUUUGUAUAGGAAGGGAACCCGAAUAUAGUACAACAUACGUUAAUUAUAAAGUAUGGAGAUGGGACGGCUUAGACUUGAUGCUUCGGCAUAGGCCCUGGAUAGGUCGGCCCUGUUAGAUUUAGUUGCGUGCCUUGGGAACUUCCUCUUUUGCUCUAGCCCCGACCUUCAUCUUCUUUGAGUCAGGCCUCGACGAGCCCCGAGUGAGGGGACUCGGUCGCGGCUCCAUGCCCUUGGGGCCUCGAGUUAUUCUUCCGAAGUGGCUUGAUAGCGAGAAAUUAAGUCCUCUGAUUUUCCACAUACAGAUAGUCUCCGCAUUUCCCAGAACGAAGCGAUGGGAAAUGAUUCUAACACUUGACUCCACGAGCUUCUUACCGUGACGUCAUACCAAUGAUGCAACCUGUGGCGUGAGCCUUUUUGGCCACCGGGGUGUCCCAUGGACUUGUGUAUUUGACAUCAUUCAAUGCACUAUCGAUUCCCGUUCUCCAAGAUGAAUGCUCUACCGUCGAUUUGGUUCUUUAAGAAUGCAGUAAUUGCGUCUGCCGGUUAAUCUUCCGAAACCUCGAUGAUCGUGUCAUUACCCGAUGUAAAUGGGGGUGCGUUGGCAUUGGUAUUUCUAUCCAAGUACCUUCGUUAGCUCAUUUGCCCAUUUCUUCUUAUCAUCUUCCUCUAUCCUUGAACAUUUUGCUUGGGGCUCAUGGCCUCAAGGCCGUUCGGUAGAGCUCCCGUAGGCUGUGUUGCGGCCUCUUGUCGGAGCUUCCCUUUGCCGAGCACGACCGUGCUGUUGCGUUGCUGUUGUGGUUUUUGUUAUGUUUGUUGUUGCUGUUGUCGUUUGCCCGAGCUAGUAAUAGACGGGGAAUCGAUUCUCCCUUUUUGUAGACAGUCUUUCGGACUAUGCACUGUUGCUCACUCUACUACCUAGGCCUGGUGUGUCACUUCAUCCCUUGGGUUUUUCCUUUCCCAAGGGAUAAAAUGGCACUACCGGCCGUCGAGGCUGGGGCCCACCGAAUCUUCGACCUUUGGCUUUAACGGGCCAUGUCCCUUUUCUCUGCCUCCUCUGCAUCCCCCCUUUUCCUCUUCUUUAUCUUUUCCCUUGGUGGGAACCCUUCCCGGGAUCGAGCUGGGAACCUAGAGGAGAUGGUGGUUGAAGGAAUCACCCCCGAAGAUGCGAGCUUCGAGGGGCCGGCGCUCGAGGAUGCUGAUACCAGAGAUGGACCUUCAAGGACGGACCAGGUUCUUGAGUUUCAUCACAUGUACAUCCUUCCAUUCCUUUGUUUCUGUGUAGAGAUCCUCUAUAGGCUUUUGUAAUUGUACAUGGAUAUUUAUGAAUAUGAAGAUACUUCAUUGAUUUCUGUUUUCGAUUCUUGCCCUAUUAUUGUAUGCUCUCGUGCCCUUCGAGGCCUUUGAAUGUUUUUUUUUUGUUGUUGACCGCUGAUAUCUAACUUGGAUGCGAGGUUUCUGUCCGAUCCUCUGCCGAUCGACGUGGAUCUUUUCCAAGUCCAUCGUCGUACCUCGGACCAAGCUUGAAUUGAUCCGAUAGGCUCGGGCUGUUGAUAACAGGAUAAAUCUAGGUUGAGGAGCCUAGGUGAUACCUUAAAAGUGUGAUUGGAACCAUUUUGGAGCAAGAAAGAUUUAUCAGAGCUGAGUAUGCUUGAAGACGAGGAAAAGAAACGACGAAACAGGAAGCUGGACAUGCGCGCCCAGAUGCGCGCCCGCGCUACUUUUAGCGCGUCCAAGACAGAAGCCUCGCCAACUAGCGCGGCCACAUGCGCGCCCAGGUGCGCGGUCGCGCUAGUCCAAAUUUCGGGAAGAAUUAUUUGGGGGAAAAAUUGGAAAUCUGGAGGGAAACCCACUUAACCUAUAUAAAUUCAAGCUCGCCCAAGGAAAAGAGGGGAGGUUUUUGAGAGUCUAGUGCAAGAAAUAGAGAGGCGAGACGCAAGGAGGAGUUUUGACCAUCAAGUUCUUAUUUUCUUCUCUUUGUUUUUGCUAUUUGUGAUGAAAUUGAACUUAUUUGUGAUGAACACUAGUAUGAGUGGCUAAAACCCAUUAUUCUGGGGUCAUGGGUAAAAUAUAAAUGUUGUUGUUUGGAGUUUAAUUUGACAAAGUUGGUUUAUCA